rnacentral:rRNA from 1 species
GGGUGGGUGACGGUCGGACGGAUCUGGAGCGGGGUGGGUGAUGGCUCAGUAGGACCGUUGAUGUCUAUACAGUUGACUAUUAAAUGUAUAACUACGGAAAUUCUGUAGCUAAUACAUGAUACCGGUCUGACUUUUGGGAAGGACUGUUUUUAUUAUUUGUUGAAUCAGAACGCUUCGGCGUAGUUGAUUGAAUGCAAAUAAGAACUAGCAUCCCUUCGGGGAGAAACUGUGUGAUCUCCUGACCUAUCAGCUUCCGACGGUAAGGUAUUGGCUUACCGUGGCUGUGACGGGUAACGGGGAAUUGGGGUUCGAUUCCGGAGAAGGGGCCUGAGAAAUGGCCACUACAUCUAAGGAUGGCAGCAGGCGCGCAAAUUACCCAAUCCUAACUCAGGGAGGUAGUGACAAGAAAUAACAACGCUGAAGUUUACUUCUGCGAUUGUAAUGAGAGGAGUUAAAAGCACUCUUCGAGAAUCAAUUGGAGGGCAAGUCUGGUGCCAGCAGCCGCGGUAAUUCCAGCUCCAAUAGCGUAUAUUAAAGUUGUUGCAGUUAAAAAGCUCGUAGUUUGUUUUUUGCUGAAUCACAGAGGGGUUUGUCCUCAAUGUGAUUUGCAAUUUGGGCAGAAUCAUUCUGCUCGCGUACUGUUAAAAAAUUAGAGUGUUCCAAGCAGUCGUCUGACUGAAUAAUGAAGCAUGGUAUACAGAUAUAGGACACCAUAGUAGUAUUCUGGUUCAAUAUUGUGGUUGUAAUGGUCGAUAAGGGCAUUUGUGGACAUGCGUAUUCAAGUGUUAGAGGUGAAAUUCUUGAAUUACUUGAAGACGAACAAGAGCGAAAGCAGUUGUCUAAAAUGUACUUGUUAAUCAAGAACGAAAGUUAGGGGAUCGAAGACGAUCAGAUACCGUCGUAGUCUUAACUAUAAACUAUGCCGACUAGGGAUUGGAAGUUAUGUUAAAAAAACUUUCAGCACCUGACAAGAAAUUAAAGUUUUUGGGUUCUGGGGGGAGUAAGGUCGCAAGGCUGAAACUUAAAGGAAUUGACGGAAGGGCACCACCAGGAGUGGAGCCUGCGGCUUAAUUUGACUCAACACGGGAAAACUCACCAGGUCCAGACAGAGGAAUGAUUGACAGUUUGAUAGCACUUUCUUGAUUCUUUGGGUGGUGGUGCAUGGCCGUUCUUAGUUGGUGGAGUGAUUUGUCUGGUUAAUUCCGAUAACGAACGAGACCUUGACCUACUAAAUAGCACGGAGAACUUUUGUUCUUUAGAGGCUUCUUAGAGGGACUGUGCACGAAAGUGCGAGGAAGUUCGAGGCUAAAACAGGUCUGUGAUGCCCUUAGAUGUUCUGGGCUGCACGUGCGCUACAAUGAUACAGCCAGCGAGUUUAUUUGCAGUAAGAUGCUGAUGAUUCUUGUAAACUGUAUCGUGAUAGGGAUAGAUUAUUGUAAUUAUUGAUCUUGAACGAGGAAUUCCUAGUAAGUACAAGUCAUUAUCUUGUGCUGAUUGCGUCCCUGCCCUUUGUACACACCGCCCGUCGCUCCUACCGAUUGAGUGAUCCGGUGAAUUAUUCGGACGUNCAACGGNGUUGUACCCGUGGGGAAAUUUAACAAGC